GAUGAACGCUGGCGGCGUGCCUAAUACAUGCAAGUCGAGCGAAUGGAUUAAGAGCUUGCUCUUAUGAAGUUAGCGGCGGACGGGUGAGUAACACGUGGGUAACCUGCCCAUAAGACUGGGAUAACUCCGGGAAACCGGGGCUAAUACCGGAUAACAUUUUGAACCGCAUGGUUCGAAAUUGAGAGGCGGCUUCGGCUGUCACUCAUGGAUGGACCCGCGUCGCAUUAGCUAGUUGGUGAGGUAACGGCUCACCAAGGCAACGAUGCGUAGCCGACCUGAGAGGGUGAUCGGCCACACUGGGACUGAGACACGGCCCAGACUCCUACGGGAGGCAGCAGUAGGGAAUCUUCCGCAAUGGACGAAAGUCUGACGGAGCAACGCCGCGUGAGUGAUGAAGGCUUUCGGGUCGUAAAACUCUGUUGUUAGGGAAGAACAAGUGCUAGUUGAAUAAGCUGGCACCUUGACGGUACCUAACCAGAAAGCCACGGCUAACUACGUGCCAGCAGCCGCCGUAA
rnacentral:rRNA from 1 species